rnacentral:lncRNA from 1 species
UUAGAUAUAUAUGUGUGGAAAUAAUGUAUCUUCUGGUGUGAGGAGAAAACUCUUCUCCUUACACCAAUUACCCAAUGACACAUGUCCCUCAUUUUUAUAUUUUUUAUUUUCUUUCUCAUUUUUUCAUCUUCUUCUCCCACCGGAAACCAAGGGUUUCAUACCAUCUCUUUCACUUUCACCCUCCCCUCAUUCAUUCCUUCACCUUCACUUAACAGAAAAACUCACCCCCGCUUCUCAUUCAUUCACUCACACUCUACUUCACUUCUCAUUCAUUCACGAAACACUAAUUUAAUUUAGCUCUAAUCUCUUCAACCUCGUUCAGAUCUGCAAAUUCUCUCUCUCUUCUUCUUCUCUUUCUCUCUCUCUAUUAUGUUUUGUGCGAAGAAGAAGAAGAAAAAUUCACAUAAUGUUUUCCGUCGAGGUACCAUUUUUAUUUAUUUACUUUCUAUGCAAAAAUUAGAACUUUUUCUUCUACCUUAGAGAUUCAUUUUAUUAGCUCCAUGUUUUUUUCUAGUUUCACUUUUCUUAUUUUUUUCCUUAUCUCUUGUUAAAUAAAAAAUACUCAGAAGAUUUAAAUUCAAUUGUUUUUUACUUCAUUUUUUAGUGAACCACUUUCUGUUCACUACUAUGCUGCUGCAAGUUUGAUACCAAUAUUUAGAAUUUUAAAUUUUUUAUAAGCAGAGUUUUAUUAAGUAGUGAUAAUUUAAGAUUAUUAAAUUAUUUUUUGGUCUGAUUCAAUGUAUGUUCUAAGAAUUUGGACAUGUUAUUUUCUGGUACUAACAUUUUGAUAGUCACAUACUUCAGGGAGGAAGGUCAAGCACUUAAUAAUUUUUUGAAGAUGUCUACAUCUUCCAACCUUUUCAAGUUCUUGCAAUUAUUUGGCUUAUAAUUUCACUUUUUUGCUUGUAUUGUAUCUAAUACGCUCAAGGAUACUUAUGCAAUAGUUUUGUAAUAGGUGAAGAUUGAUGCUAAACUAUUAUGAAGAUCACAUACAAGAUAUUUUACUUUUACAUCAAUGAGAUUUGUUUUGGUUUCAACAGUGGUACAUAAAGGAACAAGGGCAAAUGUGAUCUUUAUCAUCAUUAUUAAGGCAUGAGAUAUGGGUGGUUGAAGAGCCUUUCUUUUGUUUGUGUUAAUAGAUUUUUAAAAGUCAGCUGAAAUCAAGGACCAUCUUUCAU